CCGGGUAGUCCUAGGCGUAAAUGAUGCGAGUUAAGUGUGGGGGCAUCUACGAGAUGGCCCUGUGCUGUAGGGUAGCCGUUAAACUCGCUGCCUGGGGAGUACGGUCGCAAGGCUGAAACUUAAAGGAAUUGGCGGGGGAGCACCACAAGAGGUGGAGGCUGCGGUUCAAUUGGAGUCAACGCCG
rnacentral:rRNA from 1 species